UACGUAGGUGGCAAGCGUUGUCCGGAUUUACUGGGCGUAAAGGAUGCGUAGGCGGAUAUUUAAGUCAGAUGUGAAAUACCCGGGCUCAACUUGGGUGCUGCAUUUGAAACUGGAUAUCUAGAGUGCGGGAGAGGUAAGUGGAAUUCCUAGUGUAGCGGUGAAAUGCGUAGAGAUUAGGAAGAACACCAGUGGCGAAGGCGACUUACUGGACCGUAACUGACGCUGAGGCA
rnacentral:rRNA from 1 species